GAUGAACGCUAGCGGCAGGCUUAAUACAUGCAAGUCGAGGGGCAGCACAGAUAGCAAUAUUGGGUGGCGACCGGCAAACGGGUGCGGAACACGUACACAACCUUCCUUUUGGUGGGGGAUAGCCUUUGGAAACGGAGAUUAAUACCCCAUAAGAUAUUGGGACCGCAUGGCUUUGAUAUUAAAGAUUUAUUGCCAGAAGAUGGGUGUGCGUAUGAUUAGGUAGUUGGUGAGGUAAAGGCUCACCAAGCCGACGAUCAUUAACUGGUGUGAGAGCACGACCAGUCACACGGGCACUGAGACACGGGCCCGACUCCUACGGGAGGCAGCAGUAAGGAAUAUUGGUCAAUGGACGGAAGUCUGAACCAGCCAUGCCGCGUGGAGGAUGAAGGUCCUCUGGAUUGUAAACUUCUUUUAUAUGGGGCGAAAAAGGGCCAUUCUUGGUCAACUGACGGUACCAUAUGAAUAAGCACCGGCUAACUCCGUGCCAGCCGCCGCGGUAAUAC
rnacentral:rRNA from 1 species